rnacentral:lncRNA from 1 species
GUUUCCGGGAAUCUGGAACUAGCUGGUAUAAGGCUGGAACUGCUGUUCCACCCGUUUUCUGGAACAAGCUUGUUCCUUGAUGAGAACAAGAUUAAUUAAAAUCUAAAUUUAAUUUUAAUGGCAGUAAAUUAUUAAUUAAUCUAAUUAAUAUAUUUAAAUCAUUAUUUAUUACUUUAAUAAUUAAAUAAUUUAAAUAAUUUAUUAUUUAUAAUUAAAUAUUAAUAAUUAGAUAAUUAUUAUUAUUAAUUUAUUAUUUAUAAUUAAUUAUAAAU